AACGAGGCCGACCUGCGGCUGAGUUACCUGCGGAAGGAUCAUUACCGAGUGUGACCCUCUUAGAGGGUGCCUCCCGUCCUUGCAGGCCCCUAGGGGCUUUUGACUUUGCUUCGGCGGCACCCCCGCCGGAACAACCCCAAGAAAAUCUCAAUCAAACCGUUCCGUCCGAGGGCUUGUGAAUAAUCAAAACUUUUAACAACGGAUCU
rnacentral:misc_RNA from 1 species